rnacentral:rRNA from 1 species
CGACGAGUGGCGAACGGGUGAGUAACACGUGGGUGAUCUGCCCUGCACUCUGGGAUAAGCCUGGGAAACUGGGUCUAAUACCGGAUAGGACCAUGCUUUAGUGUGUGUGGUGGAAAGUUUUUCGGUGUAGGAUGAGCCCGCGGCCUAUCAGCUUGUUGGUGGGGUAAUGGCCUACCAAGGCGGCGACGGGUAGCCGGACUGAGAGGUUGGUCGGCCACAUUGGGACUGAGAUACGGCCCAG